UACGUAGGGUGCGAGCGUUGUCCGGAAUUAUUGGGCGUAAAGGGCUCGUAGGCGGUCUGUUGCGUCUGCUGUGAAAAUCCAGGGCUUAACCCUGGACCUGCAGUGGGUACGGGCAGACUAGAGUGCGGUAGGGGAGAUCGGAAUUCCUGGUGUAGCGGUGAAAUGCGCAGAUAUCAGGAGGAACACCGGUGGCGAAGGCGGAUCUCUGGGCCGUAACUGACGCUGAGGAGCGAAAGCAUGGGGAGCGAACAGG
rnacentral:rRNA from 1 species